rnacentral:lncRNA from 1 species
AUUAUAAAGACUGGCUCAAAAAUCUAAAAUAGUUUUAAGUUUCAUGAAGUUGAACUAACCAGGAUAUCCUUAACUCAUCAAGCCGUUUGAUAUUGAUCAAAGGAUAAUUAAUUCAUGAUCAUUGUUGGACAAUGAUCAAAGACUUGGAUAAGCUUGAGAAGCUCAACAUAUCCAAGCAUAAAGAAUUAUGAAUGGAUUUGAUCCUGUAGUUUCUUACUAGUUCAUAUGGACAGUUUAUAAUAAACUAUCACAUGAAUAAAAUCGAUUACACCUUAAUUGAGUUGGUGACUACUGAUGGGAUCUUGACGAGUUUAAGAAGAACGAUUUCUGUGUACCUAGAGAAAAAGAUAAGAGACAUGCCUUCACAAGGUAUGUUCGAUCUGCUCGAUAUUAGUAUUUGAGCAAACAGUAAGUAUCAUAGGAUCUAAGAGAUCUAGUGAUAAGAAAAAUUCAGUAUAUAUGGUAUGUCAGGUUUGAUCAUAUUGGAGAUGACAGAAUAAAUAAAUUAAAAAGAUAUGAGCUAGGCUCAUCAAUUCUCGAGUCAUUUCUGAUUUAUGGAUUCUACCUUCAAGGAUAGAUGACCAAACUAACUCUUUGUAGGAUGUGGAGUGAGGACCACUAAUAUACUUGCCUCGAUACAUUCUGAUGUAUGUAGCACAUUCUGAUGUAUGUAGCACAU